rnacentral:sRNA from 1 species
AGAGUUGCCACGGGUGUUCGUAGAGGACAGGGCUGCAGUGAUGUGCUUCCGGCCAGGUCCUGCCUACGACUUGACGUUCUGUGAGGUCAGGGACACGUCCUUGGUCAUGCUGUGGAAGGCCCCUGUGUACUCCGGCAGCAGCCCUGUUUCUGGAUAUUUCGUGGACUUCAGGGAGGAGGAUGCUGGAGAGUGGAUCACUGUCAAUCAGACGACAACGGCCAACCGUUAUUUAAAGGUCUCUGACCUGCAGCAAGGUAAGACCUAUGUCUUCAGGGUCCGGGCAGUCAAUGCAAAUGGCGUGGGGAAGCCCUCAGACACAUCGGAGCCCGUGCUGGUAGAGGCGAGACCAGGCACCAAGGAAAUCACUGCUGGUGUCGAUGAACAAGGCAACAUCUACCUGGGCUUUGACUGCCAGGAAAUGACAGACGCGUCUCAGUUCACCUGGUGUAAAUCCUACGAGGAGAUUUCAGAUGAUGAGAGGUUUAAAAUCGAAACCGUGGGGGAUCACUCCAAGCUGUACUUAAAGAAUCCGGAUAAGGAGGAUUUAGGGACUUACUCCGUGUCUGUA